rnacentral:rRNA from 1 species
GAUAAGGUUAAGUGAAUAAGGGCGCACGGUGGAUGCCUUGGCACUAGGAGCCGAUGAAGGACGGGACUAACACCGAUAUGCUUUGGGGAGCUGUACGUAAGCUAUGAUCCAGAGAUUUCCGAAUGGGGGAACCCAACAUCUUUAAUAGGAUGUUACGAUUGUGUGAAUACAUAGCACAUUCGAGGUAGACGCAGAGAACUGAAACAUCUAAGU